UACGAAGGGGGCUAGCGUUGUUCGGAAUUACUGGGCGUAAAGCGCACGUAGGCGGAUAUUUAAGUCAGGGGUGAAAUCCCAGAGCUCAACUCUGGAACUGCCUUCGAUACUGGAAAGCUCGAGUCCGGGAGGAGGUGAGUGGAACUGCGAGUGUAGAGGUGAAAUUCGUAGAUAUUCGCAAGAACACCAGUGGCGAAGGCGGCUCACUGGCCCGGUACUGACGCUGAGGUGCGAAAGCGUGGGAGCAAACAGG
rnacentral:rRNA from 1 species